CACCUCAGAUUAUACGUAUCAUGACUUAUCUUAUACUCGUGCUCAGCUUAUAAGUGAGAUCCUGGUAAGCGUAAUCAAGCAAACCAAAUAUGGCCGCCUCGCUCGUCAAAAAAAUCGCAAAAUUUUUGCCCAUUUAAUGUCUAGCCAUUCAAUUUGGCCCAAUAGUUUGUUCUACUCCUUGUUUCCUCUCAACUCAAUCCAACUUAAGCACACAUCCAUUCCAUCGUUCUUUCCUGCCCCCAUCCCGUUGUUCCUUCGUCUUGGAGGCCGUUGCUUCAACCUGAAGGUGGCAUGGCCGUGAGAUAGGAUUUUUUAAAUUUUGACACUUUUUAAAAUAACUUUUGAAUUUGACAUUUUUUUUUGAAACUAACCCUUUUGGACAUGCCAGGAGCCACGGUGCAACAUUUCAACAUUGUCGCGCCAUGGAUGCCGCCGCGCGCGGUAGGGGCGAACACGUGGCAGCCUGAUGCCUGGUGGCGGCUGAUGUGGCAUGGCGCUGCCACGCCUUAGAUCUAGGUGCAGCACUACCGCUCCAUGGCCCAUGCUGCGGCAAGCGGCCUUCUCCGUUGUGGGGCUUAUCCUCGGGAGCUCUCCCCGUUGUGCUAAGAUGGAUUGUUCUGUCCGAUUUUAUUUUACGGAGGAAGUUAAGGAAAGUAGAUGGUAUGUUUGAGGAUAUGGAAGAAAAAUAGGAAUGGUUUGAUGGA